CGGCACAGCGGCGGCUGUGCAGGCAAGUCGGCCGAUAGCGACACAUCCGACACAGACUGGCUGGCUGAGGGCCCGCACACGACUGGAUGCGACUGACGCUGACAGCGUGGUUUCUGGGCGGUCUCCUGAUCUCUGUGUCGGCGGCACCAGAGGCACCCUCUGUGGACCGGUUAGAGGGGCUGGUGGGGGACACGGAGUCCCUCCAACCACGCCUGUUAUUCAGCGGGGGUGGCCACGGGACCUACCCCGCAGCGACCCCUGUGUACGCCCCUGCAGCUGCCCAGGAGGAGGAGGAAAACUGUCCCACUGCCUCACCAAUCAGCGCCCUCAACUUCGUCAGCCUCGUCGUGCUACUCAUACAAAUCAUCGUCAACCUCGUCAACAACAACAACAACAAUAACAAUAACAACAAUAACAACAAUAAUAAUAACGACAACAAUAAUAACAACAACAACGUGAUCAACUCCAACAAUGUUGGUGGGGAGGCGGGCGGUGCUGGUGUAGGAGGAGUGGUGAUGCCUGGAGGAAGAACAGCAGCACAGGAACGCAGGUCACGGGGUCUCAUUAAAGGACAUCACAGGACAGAUGAUCUGAAGCCACGUGAUCAACUGAUGAGGCUCAUUUCAUCUUCCGCUGGAAACACCGACAAAAAGCGACUCUCGUUAGAUGAAAUUUUCCUGCUUUACCUGAGGCUGCUGGCUGCGGAGGCUCUGUGGCCGUGCCCGCCGUGCGUGCCGCUGCCGGAUAUAUCGGCGACCACCCGCCGUGAGGCCGUCCGCCGCGACUCCUCAAUCAGCGUAUCUGGUCAGCGGCCCGUCCUGCCGACGGCAUAAACCACCGGCUCUGACCGGGAGUGGCCGGCACAUUGAUCUCCGCCG